rnacentral:rRNA from 1 species
GAGUGAAGCGGCAACAGCUCAAAUUUGAAAUCUGGCUCUUUUAGAGUCCGAGUUGUAAUUUGCAGAGGGCGCUUUGGCUUUGGCAGCGGUCCAAGUUCCUUGGAACAGGACGUCACAGAGGGUGAGAAUCCCGUACGUGGUCGCUGGCUAUUGCCCGUGUAAAAGCCCCCUUCGACGAGUUCGAGUUGUUUGGGAAAUGCAGCUUCUAAAUGGGAGGGUACAUUUCUUCUAAAGCUAAAUAUUGGCCAGAGACCGAUAGCGCACAAGUAGAGUGAUCGAAAGAUGAAAAGCACUUUGGAAAGAGAGUCAAACAGCACGUGAAAUUGUUAAAAGGGAAGCGCUUGCAGCCAGACUUGCUUGCAGUUGCUCAUCCGGGCUUUUGCCCGGUGCACUCUUCUGUAGGCAGGCCAGCAUCAGUUUGGGCGGUAGGAUAAAGGUCUCUGUCACGUACCUCCUCUCGGGGAGGCCUUAUAGGGGAGACGACAUACUACCAGCCUGGACUGAGGUCCGCGCAUCUGCUAGGAUGCUGGCGUAAUGGCUGUAAGCGGCCCGUCUUGAAACACGGACCAAGGAGUCUAACAUCUAUGCGAGUGUUUGGGUGUCAAGCCCGAGCGCGUAAUGAAAGUGAACGGAGGUGGGAACCCGCAAGGGUGCACCAUCGACCGAUCCUGAUGUCUUCGGAAGGAUUUGAGUAAGAGCAUGGCUGUUGGGACCCGAAAGAUGGUGAACUAUGCUUGAAUAGGGUGAAGCCAGAGGAAACUCUGGUGGAGGCUCGCAGCGGUUCUGACGUGCAAAUCGAUCGUCAAAUUUGGGCAUAGGGGCGAAAGACUAAUCGAACUAUCUAGUAGCUGGUUCCUGCCGAAGUUUCCCUCAGGAUAGCAGUAACGUAUUCAGUUUUAUGAGGUAAAGCGAAUGAUUAGAGGCCUGGGGGGUUGAAACAACCUUCACCUAUUCUCAAACUUUAAAUAUGUAAGAAGUC